rnacentral:rRNA from 1 species
AUUAAUGAGGGGAGGAAAAGAAACUAACAAGGAUUUUCUUAGUAGCGGCGAGCGAAAAGAAAUCAGUUCAGCACUAAGUCACUUUAUCUUUAUGGUAAAUGUGAGAUGCAGUGUAUGGAACGUCUAUAAUCUAAUAUGAUAAAUUAACGAUUUAAGUCCCUCUCAAAAGAGGCCAUUUAUCCAUAGAGGGUGCCAGGCCCGUAUAACGUUAAUGAUUAUUAGAAGAUGCUUCCAAAGAGUCGUGUUGCUUGAUAGUGCAGCACUAAGUGGGUGGUAAACUCCAUCUAAAACUAAAUAUAACCAUGAGACCGAUAGUAAACAAGUACCGUGAGGGAAAGUUGAAAAGAACUCUGAAUAGAGAGUUAAAUAGUACGUGAAACUGCUUAGAGGUUAAGCCCGAUGAACCUGAAUAUUCACUAUGGCAAAUUCAACAUAUGCCUAUAGUAUAUCAAAAAUACUAUAGUAAUAUUGUGCAUUUUUUCCAUACAGAACAUUGUAAUCUAUUAACAAUAUAUAUAUAUUUAUCAUAAGAUCAUUAGCUUAUGUUUAUACAAAUUAAGUUGCUUGCAAUUUAACAUUGAAUAAAUGCUUUUGAUUUGAUAAAGUGUUGAUAGAUUAAAUUGAAAAUUAGUGCUUAAAUUCCAUUGGAAUUUUACAAAUUGCAUGAAAAUAUAUUUUUAUGUAAUAUUGUAUGCGCUUAAUUGAUUAACAAUGCGAUAGAUUCAGGAUACCUUCGGGACCCGUCUUGAAACACGGACCAAGGAGUCUAACAUAUGUGCAAGUCAUUGGGAUUAAAAUUAAAAUAAAAUUAAACCCAAAGGCAUAAUUAACUUAACUUUUUUAAUGGGAUUAGUUUUUAGUCUAUUUGUAUUUAUAGUCUAUUAAUUCAAUCCCGGGGCGUUCUAUAUGGUUAUGUAUAAUAAUAUUUAUAUUAUUUAUACCUCUAACUGGAGCGUACCUUGAGCAAAUAUGCUGUGACCCGAAAGAUGGUGAACUAUACUUGAUCAGGUUGAAGUCAGGGGAAACCCUGAUGGAAGACCGAAACAGUUCUGACGUGCAAAUCGAUUGUGAGAAUUGAGUAUAGGGGCGAAAGACCAAKCGAACCAUCUAGUAGCUGUU